rnacentral:lncRNA from 1 species
CCCCCAGCAACAUCUAUGCCGAGGUGGAAGGUCUGUCAGCGACGGCGUCCGCUGGGCACCGCGUCCUCCGCAAGUGCCUAUCCAGGCCUGUCCCAGGAGGCCAGAAUCCAGGUGGUCCACAGAGGCACUCUGAGAAUUCUGGGGCUGGACAAGGCCCUCCCCUGCCUCAGCAGCCUCCACUCCCCUGGAGGCACACCCUUCCCCACAACCUCUCUAGACAGGUGCUUCAGGACUGAGGACAGGCAUGGCUCCCCGUUGGGCCUCCUCUAUAAGUGGAAACAUCAGAGACUUCCUCAGAUAGGAAACCUGGCUGCUUUUCCAGACUUCUGCCACGUCGGGGUCUGAGUGCUGGGUCCCUCUCCUGGAUCCUGACUUAGCCCUGUCCCCUGACAGGUCUGCCCUCUCACACACUGUCUCUGCAGUCGUGCCUGUCAGGGUCCCACUUCCUGCCAGGGUGCAGAGCAAGAGGAUGAGGUCUGAUGGCUGUGGGUGGGAGACCCCAGGGCACAGUGACCCUG